rnacentral:rRNA from 1 species
GGAGGGUGCAAGCGUUAAUCGGAAUUACUGGGCGUAAAGCGCACGCAGGCGGUUUGUUAAGUCAGAUGUGAAAGCCCCGGGCUCAACCUGGGAACUGCAUUUGAUACUGGCAAACUAGAGUAUGGGAGAGAGAAGUGGAAUUCCACAUGUAGCGGUGAAAUGCGUAGAGAUGUGGAGGAACAUCAGUGGCGAAGGCGACUUCUUGGCCCAAUACUGACGCUCAGGUGCGAAAGCGUGGGGAGCAAACAGGAUUAGAUACCCUGGUAGUCCACGCCCGUAAACGAUGUCUACUAGCCGUUGGGGGGCUUGACCCCUUAGUGGCGCAGCUAACGCCUUAAGUAGACCGCCUGGGAGUACGGCCGCAAGGUUA